rnacentral:rRNA from 1 species
GGAACUAGAUGUGGGGACCAUUCCACGGUCUCCGUGUCGCAGCUAACGCAUUAAGUUCCCCGCCUGGGGAGUACGGCCGCAAGGCUAAAACUCAAAGGAAUUGACGGGGGCCCGCACAAGCGGCGGAGCAUGCGGAUUAAUUCGAUGCAACGCGAAGAACCUUACCAAGGCUUGACAUAUACGAGAACGGGCCAGAAAUGGUCAACUCUUUGGACACUCGUAUACAGGUGGUGCAUGGUUGUCGUCAGCUCGUGUCGUGAGAUGUUGGGUUAAGUCCCGCAACGAGCGCAACCCUCGUUCUAUGUUGCCAGCACGUAAUGGUGGGAACUCAUGGGAUACUGCCGGGGUCAACUCGGAGGAAGGUGGGGACGACGUCAAAUCAUCAUGCCCCUUAUGUCUUGGGCUUCACGCAUGCUACAAUGGCCGAUACAAAGGGCUGCAAUACCGCAAGGUGGAGCGAAUCCCAAAAAGUCGGUCCCAGUUCGGAUUGAGGUCUGCAACUCGACCUCAUGAAGUCGGAGUCGCUAGUAAUCGCAGAUCAGCAACGCUGCGGUGAAUACGUUCCCGGGCCUUGUACACACCGCCCGUCAAGUCAUGAAAGUCGGUAACACCCGAAGCCAGUGGCCUAACCCUUGUGGAAGGAGCUGUCUAAGGUGGGA